rnacentral:rRNA from 1 species
GCUGGCGGCGUGCCUAAUACAUGCAAGUCGAGCGAGAUGUUAGCGCAUGAACCUUCGGGGGAUUAUGCUAACGGACAGCGGCGGACGGGUGAGUAACGCGUAGGCAACCUGCCCCUGACAGAGGGAUAGCCAUUGGAAACGAUGAUUAAAACCUCAUGACACCGUAGAAGCACAUGCUUCAUCGGUCAAAGAUUUAUCGGUCAGGGAUGGGCCUGCGUCUGAUUAACUAGUUGGUGAGGUAACGGCUCACCAAGGUGACGAUCAGUAGCCGACCUGAGAGGGUGAUCGGCCACAUUGGAACUGAGACACGGUCCAAACUUCUACGGAAGGCAGCAGUAGGGAAUCUUGCACAAUGGGCGAAAGCCUGAUGCAGCAACGCCGCGUGAAGGAUGAAGGCCUUCGGGUUGUAAACUUCUGUUCUAAGGGAAGAAACAAAUGACGGUACCUUAGGAGCAAGCCCCGGCUAACUACGUGCCAGCAGCCGCGGUAAUACGUAGGGGGCAAGCGUUAUCCGGAAUUAUUGGGCGUAAAGAGUGCGUAGGUGGUUACCUAAGCGCAAGGUUUAAUUUAGAGGCUCAACCUCUACUUGCCUUGCGAACUGGGCUACUUGAGUGCAGGAGGGGAAAGCGGAAUUCCUAGUGUAGCGGUGAAAUGCGUAGAUAUUAGGAGGAACACCAGCGGCGAAGGCGGCUUUCUGGACUGUAACUGACACUGAGGCACGAA